UACAGAGGGUGCAAGCGUUGUUCGGAAUUAUUGGGCGUAAAGCGCGUGUAGGCGGCUUUGCAAGUCGGGUGUGAAAGCCCUCGACUCAACCGAGGAAGUGCAUCCGAAACUGGCGAGCUAGAGUACGAAAGAGGAUCGCGGAAUUCCCGGUGUAGAGGUGAAAUUCGUAGAUAUCGGGAGGAACACCGGUGGCGAAGGCGGCGAUCUGGGUCGAUACUGACGCUGAGGUGCGAAAGCGUGGGGAGCAAACAGG
rnacentral:rRNA from 1 species